GGUGGGUAUGGUUGUCCUGCGAGAGAACGUUCUGUGCUGGUGAUUUGGUCCUGUCAGGUGCUGGUGGGUCCUGAUUCUGUGCUGGUGGGUUUGUUUACAUUGUAUCAGAACGGCAAUAAAACGACUGUUUUGUUGCUUUAUUUUUCUCUGAUGCGUCAUAAGUACCAUGCAAAGUAUAUUACAACAAUAUUAUAUUUCAAAAGUCGUGCAAGUUCGUUAAACGGAAUUGUCCUGUCGCUGUGCUGGUGAUAAGAAAAACGGUCCUGGUUCUGUGCUCCUAUGUCCUGGUUCUGUGCCUUUAUAUUUUAGUUAAAAGUGGCAUUUAUUCAAGAUCAUUGAUGCUGUACUGUUAUUGACUAAUUAACUGUUGUCUGCUUUCUUGAAAUUGACAUUGUUGUGAAUCUGUUUACUGUUAUUAUGAGAGAAAAAAUACCCGUAUUUUUUUAUUUUUUUUUUUAAAUUAACUGUAAUCUUAUUUAUUGGCCUGUUAAAUGGAACCCUUCUUGCCCCCUUUUAAGAUAAGAAAAUAUGUUUACGAUUUUCGGGAUUACGAUCAUUUUGCAAGAUCACCAAAAUACGUUGUAAUUUAUACAAUACUUAUAUAAAGU
rnacentral:lncRNA from 1 species